rnacentral:lncRNA from 1 species
GAGCAGAGAUUGCACCACUGCACUCUGGUGUGGGCGACAGAGCAAGACUCCGUCAAAAAAAAACAAAAACAAAAACAAAAAGCAUUGCUUUAGUCACAAUACUGUACCUUCCUGUAUGAGCUUUUAAAAAAAGAACCUGAUACCUCCCCCCAUCUAAAGGUUUCCGUUUUGAUGUCACUUUUACAAAGGCCAACUCAUUAUUCCACUAUUUUGUUUAAACUCCAGCUUUCUCCCAUUUUAGUGAAACUACUCUUCUGAUGGUGGUAGUUCUUGUUUUUUGUAAAGGACAAGUAAGGCUUUGGAACUGUGCC